rnacentral:rRNA from 1 species
UCGAUCGAUGAAUGACCGAUCGCUUGCACGGUUGGAUUAGUGGCGAACGGGUGAGUAUCACGUGAGUAACCUUCCCUUGACUCUGGGAUAAGCCCGGGAAACUGGGUCUAAUACCGGAUACGACCAGUCCUCGCAUGGGGUGCUGGUGGAAAGAUUUAUCGGUCUUGGAUGGACUCGCGGCCUAUCAGCUUGUUGGUGAGGUAAUGGCUCACCAAGGCGAUGACGGGUAGCCGGCCUGAGAGGGUGACCGGCCACACUGGGACUGAGACACGGCCCAGACUCCUACGGGAGGCAGCAGUGGGGAAUAUUGCACAAUGGGCGAAAGCCUGAUGCAGCGACGCCGCGUGCGGGAUGACGGCCUUCGGGUUGUAAACCGCUUUCAGCAGGGAAGAAGCGAGAGUGACGGUACCUGCAGAAGAAGCGCCGGCUAACUACGUGCCAGCAGCCGCGGUAAUACGUAGGGCGCGAGCGUUAUCCGGAAUUAUUGGGCGUAAAGAGCUCGUAGGCGGUUUGUCACGUCUGCUGUGAAAGCCCGAGGCUCAACCUCGGGUGUGCAGUGGGUACGGGCAGACUAGAGUGCAGUAGGGGAGACUGGAAUUCCUGGUGUAGCGGUGAAAUGCGCAAGUAUCUUGAGGAACACC